rnacentral:rRNA from 1 species
UCNUNNAGAUAGCCANGCAUGUCUAGUACAUGCCGUAUUAAGGCGAAACCGCGAAUGGCUCAUUAAAUCAGUUAUGGUUCCUUGGAUCGUACCUUACUACUUGGAUAACUGUGGCAAUUCUAGAGCUAAUACAUGCAGCAGAGCUCCGACCUUCGGGGACGAGCGCUUUUAUUAGACCAAAACCAAUCGGACCUCUGGUCCGUAGAUCGUGGUGACUCUGCAUAACUUUGGGCUGAUCGCACGGGCCUGUCCCGGCGACGUAUCUUUCAAGUGUCUGCCUUAUCAACUUUCGAUGGUAGGUUACGCGCCUACCAUGGUCGUAACGGGUAACGGGGAAUCAGGGUUCGAUUCCGGAGAGGGAGCCUGAGAAACGGCUACCACAUCCAAGGAAGGCAGCAGGCGCGCAAAUUACCCACUCCCAGAACGGGGAGGUAGUGACGAAAAAUAACAAUACGGGACUCAUUUGAGACCCCGUAAUUGGAAUGAGUACACUCUAAAUCCUUUAACGAGGAUCCAUUGGAGGGCAAGUCUAGUGCCAGCAGCCGCGGUAAUUCUAGCUCCAAUAGCGUAUAUUAAAGUUGUUGCGGUUAAAAAGCUCGUAGUUGGAUCUCAGUUCCAGACGGGUGGUCCGCCUACCGGCGGUUACUGCCUGUUCUGAACAGCCAGCCGGUUUCUCUCGAUGAUCUUCACCGGUUGUCUUGGGUGACCGGCAAGUUUACUUUGAAAAAAUUAGAGUGCUCAAAGCAGGCGCGACGCCUGAAUAAUGGUGCAUGGAAUAAUGGAAUAGGACCUCGGUUCUAUUUUGUUGGUUUUCGGAACACGAGGUAAUGAUUAAGAGGGACAGAUGGGGGCAUUCGUAUUGCGACGCUAGAGGUGAAAUUCUUGGACCGUCGUAAGACGACUACUGNAGAUUUUUUUUUUNUNAAANNANAAAA